UGAGGAAUUUUGCGCAAUGGGCGAAAGCCUGACGCAGCAACGCCGCGUGAGUGACGAAGGCCUUCGGGUCGUAAAGCUCUGUCAAAGGGAAAGAAGUGCAUGGUGGCUAAUACCUGCCAUGUUUGACGGUACCCUUAAAGGAAGCACCGGCUAACUCCGUGCCAGCAGCCGCGGUAAUACGGAGGGUGCAAGCGUUGUUCGGAAUCACUGGGCGUAAAGGGCGCGUAGGCGGUUUGAUAAGUCAGAUGUGAAAGCCCACGGCUUAACUGUGGAAGUGCAUUUGAAACUGUCAGACUUGAGUAUCAGAGGGGAAAGUGGAAUUCCCGGUGUAGAGGUGAAAUUCGUAGAUAUCGGGAGGAAUACCGGUGGCGAAGGUGACUUUCUGGCUGAAUACUGACGCUGAGGCGCGAAAGCGUGGGGAGCAAACA
rnacentral:rRNA from 1 species